AGCAGCCGCGGUAAUUCCAGCUCCAAUAGCGUAUAUUAAAGUUGUUGCAGUUAAAAAGCUCGUAGUUGAAUUUCGGGAUCAAUAUAUCGGUCGUGCCUUGGUACGUACUGGUAUCAUUGGUCUCUCCUUUCUGACGAACCAUGAUGUCAUUAAUUUGGUGUUAUGGGAAGUUAGGACUGUUACUUUGAAAAAAUUAGAGUGUUUAAAGCAGGCUUUGGCUUGAAUACAUUAGCAUGGAAUAAUGAAAUAGGACGUUCGAACCUAUUUUGUUGGUUUCUAGGAUCAACGUAAUGAUUAAUAGGGAUAGUUGGGGGCAUUAGUAUUCAAUUGUCAGAGGUGAAAUUCUUGGAUUUAUUGAAGACUAACUACUGCGAAAGCAUUUGCCAAGGAUGUUUUCAUUAAUCAAGAACGAAAGUUAGGGGAUCGAAGACGAUCAGAUACCGUCGUAGUCUUAACCAUAAACUAUGCCGACUAGGGAUCGGAUGAUGUUAAUUUUUUAAUGACUCA
rnacentral:rRNA from 1 species